rnacentral:rRNA from 1 species
AUUGAACGCUGGCGGCAGGCUUAACACAUGCAAGUCGAACGAGUGGCGGACUGGUGAGUAAUGCUUGGGAACCUGGCUUAUGGAGGGGGAUAACGACGGGAAACUGUCGCUAAUACCGCGUACCAUAGGAUGAGCCCAAGUUGGAUUAGGUAGUUGGUGGGGUAAUGGCCUACCAAGCCGACGAUCCCUAGCUGGUCUGAGAGGAUGACCAGCCACACCGGGACGGAGACACGGCCCGGACUCCUACGGGAGGCAGCAGUGGGGAAUAUUGGGCAAUGGGGGAAAGCUGACGGAGCCAUGCCGCGUGAAUGAAGAAGGCCUUCGGGUUGUAAAGUUCUUUCGGUGACGAGGCGUUAAUCACAGAAGAAGCACCGGCUAACUCCGUGCCAGCAGCCGCGGUAAUUC